UUGCAUCAUGAUUUACAUUUGAGUGAGUGGCGAACUGGUGAGUAACACGUGGGAAACCUGCCCAGAAGCGGGGGAUAACACCUGGGAAACAGGUGCUAAUACCGUAUAACACAAAAUCCGCAUGGAUUUGUUUGAAAGGUGGCUUCGGCUAUCACUUCUGGAUGAUCCCGCGGCGUAUUAGUUAGUUGGUGAGGUAAAGGCCCACCAAGACGAUGAUACGUAGCCGACCCUGAGAGGGUAAUCGGCCACAUUGGGACUGAGACACGGCCCAAACUCC
rnacentral:rRNA from 1 species